UUCGGCCAUAUCAUCUUGAAACAUUGGUUCCCAUAACAUCACCGAAGUUAAACAACAUCAAGCCUGCUCAGUAUUUUGAUGGGUGACUACUUGAGAAUAAUAUGUGCUGUA